AGAAAUAUGGCUCAAGCAAGGGGCAAUCCCUACGUACUUGCUUAAGUUGCAAAAUAAAGUAAGUGAAAGGCUGCGCCUGUGAUGGGAACAGCUAGUUUGAGAACUGAUAAGGUAACUCCCUGUUUCUGUUCUCACCCUGAUCUUAACGAACUGUCUCUGCCCUCUGUUUGUUUUAACUCCCUGUCUCCUUGUUGUUUGGUACUUGCCUUCUGGGCUGAUAAGAAAGCUGUUGACGCAUUAUGAAUUGCUUAAGGCCAUGAAGUAUACGCAUUAACACUAGAAGCUUCUAACUAAUUAAGGGGGGCUGAGAUGCUUGGGCAAAUGUUUUAUGACGCGACGGAACUGUCUAUAUAAUCUUACUUGUUACUGAAAUCGUGGCUGGUUCACUUGGGAGACGGGCCGCUCUCUAUUGUAGUGCGCACUAUUCAAUAAAGAGCUUGUGAUUGGAUCUUGCUGGUGUUGCCUGUCUCUUUGCGGUCAGACAACGAACGGAGGCCGUCCGGGUUAAAGUCCCCGACACCAGAGACCCCCC